UACGAAGGGGGCUAGCGUUGUUCGGAAUUACUGGGCGUAAAGCGCACGCAGGCGGAUCGAUAAGUCAGGGGUGAAAUCCCGGGGCUCAACCUCGGAAUUGCCUUUGAUACUGUCGAUCUCGAGUCCGGGAGAGGUGAGUGGAAUUCCUAGUGUAGAGGUGAAAUUCGUAGAUAUUAGGAAGAACACCAAUGGCGAAGGCAGCUCGCUGGGACGGUACUGACGCUGAGACGCGAAAGCGUGGGGAGCAAACAGG
rnacentral:rRNA from 1 species